rnacentral:rRNA from 1 species
AGAUACCCCACUAUGCUUAGCCCUAAACAUAGACAAUAAAAACACAAUAUUGUCCGCCAGAGAACUACAAGUGAAAAACUAGAAACUCCAAGGACUUGGCGGUGCCCUACACCAGCCUAGAGGAGCCUGUCCUAUAAUCGAUAAUCCACGUUUUACCUCACCAUUUCUAGCAAACCAGCCUAUAUACCGCCGUCGAAAGCCUACCUUAUGAAAGAAAAAAAGUAAGCAAAAUAGUCAGUAACUAAAACGUCAGGUCAAGGUGUAGCAUAUGAAAUGGAAGAGAUGGGCUACAUUUUCUACACUAGAAAAAACGGACAGCAUAAUGAAACCAAUGCUCGAAGGCGGAUUUAGCAGUAAGACAAAAAAGAAAAUUUGCCUAAAACCCGCUCUGGGGCGCGCACACACCGCCCGUCACCCUC